rnacentral:rRNA from 1 species
ACUCCUACGGGAGGCAGCAGUGGGAAUAUUGCACAAUGGGGGAAACCCUGAUGCAGCCAUGCCCGCGUGUGUGAAGAAGGCCUUCGGGUUGUAAAGCACUUUCAGUAGGGAGGAAGGUAGUGGUAGUUAACACCUGCAUUAUUUGAUCGUUACCUACAGAAGAAGCACCGGCUAACUCCGUGCCAGCAGCCGCGGUAAUACGGAGGGUGCGAGCGUUAAUCGGAAUUACUGGGCGUAAAGCGCAUGCAGGCGGCCUGUUAAGUCAGAUGUGAAAGCCCGGGGCUUAACCUCGGAAUUGCAUUUGAAACUGGC